UACGAGAGGCCCAAACGUUAUUCGGAAUUACUGGGCUUAAAGAGUCCGUAGGCGGCGCGGAAAGUGGGGUGUGAAAGCCCUCGGCUCAACCGAGGAAUUGCGCUCCAAACUACCGUGCUUGAGGAACCUAGAGGUGAGCAGAACUGAUGGUGGAGCGGUGAAAUGCGUUGAUAUCAUCAGGAAUACCGGAGGCGAAGGCGGCUCACUGGGGGUUUCUGACGCUGAGGGACGGAAAGCCAGGGUAGCGAACGGGG
rnacentral:rRNA from 1 species